rnacentral:rRNA from 1 species
CCCGCUGAACUUAAGCAUAUCAAUAAGCGGAGGAAAGGAAACUAACAAGGAUUCCCCUAGUAACUGCGAGUGAAGCGGGAAAAGCUCAAAUUUAAAAUCUGUCAGUCUUUGGCUGUCCGAGUUGUAAUCUAGAGAAGUGUUAUCCGCGCUGGACCGUGUACAAGUCUCCUGGAAUGGAGCGUCAUAGAGGGUGAGAAUCCCGUCUUUGACACGGACUGCCAGGGCUUUUGUGAUGCGCUCUCAAAGAGUCGAGUUGUUUGGGAAUGCAGCUCAAAAUGGGUGGUAAAUUCCAUCUAAAGCUAAAUAUUGGCGAGAGACCGAUAGCGAACAAGUACCGUGAGGGAAAGAUGAAAAGAACUUUGGAAAGAGAGUUAAACAGUACGUGAAAUUGCUGAAAGGGAAACGCUUGAAGUCAAUCGCGUCAUCCAGGGAUCAACCUUGCUUUUGCUUGGUGUAUUUUCUGGUUGACGGGUCAGCAUCAAUUUUGACCAUUGGAAAAAGAUUAAGGGAAUGUGGCAUACAUAGUGAUGUGUUAUAGCCCUUGGUUGCAUACAAUGGUUGGGAUUGAGGAACUCAGCACGCCGCAAGGCCGGGUUUUUAUUAAUCACGUACGUGCUUAGGAUGUUGGCAUAAUGGCUUUAAUCGACCCGUCUUGAAACACGG